rnacentral:rRNA from 1 species
UACGUAGGGGGCAAGCGUUGUCCGGAUUUAUUGGGCGUAAAGAGCGUGUAGGCGGUUUUACAGGUCCGCUGUGAAAACUCGAGGCUCAACCUCGAGCUGUCGGUGGAAACUGUAAGGCUAGAGUCCGGAAGAGGAGAGUGGAAUUCCUGGUGUAGCGGUGAAAUGCGCAGAUAUCAGGAAGAACACCCGUGGCGAAGGCGGCUCUCUGGGACGGUACUGACGCUGAGACGCGAAAGCGUGGGGAGCGAACAGG